GUAAGUAGGCCUCUCCAUCCUGAUAGCGAGGGAGGCCUCAUCGGGUUUGACCCCGGCAUGCUUUGACACCUUUUUCACUGUUGGAAGAUGCUCUGACUUUAAAGUAGAAAGCAGACUUGACUGAAGCUGAUUGACACAGGUCAAGGGGACUUCAAGGAAGAAAGCCAGCCUUAGACUGACAUCAGAGAACCAAACUCCGGUGUCUAAGCUCAAGCUCACUGCAGGUGCACUCACAGUGCCCCCCGAAAUGUCCAAGAGCCUGCCAGCCUCAUUCCCAAUGCCGUGUGAACCCACCUUGUCUUAAGAUUUUUAUUUUUGCCUGCAUUAAGUUUAGACAGCAGAGCAUCUACAUCUCCAUUUAUGCCGUGUGCACGCAGUACCAACAGAGGUCAGAGGAGGGUGUCGGAUCCCCUGGAACUGGAGUCACAGAUUCUUCCUUGCGUGGAUGAAACAGUCCCAACGAACACUUUAAAAAGACAAAUGUUCCCGACAGCACUGGUUGAAUUCAAAACUCGGCAGAUCCAUGUUCUUAUCCUUAGACAAGAGAGGGGCCAUAACAAGAUGGAAUGACGGAACAGACGUGAGAGAUGAUGGUACAGUGACUCGGGUAACCCCAGAAAAGGGACAGCUCUUCUACAGCUCAGUGGGGACAGGGACAAAAAGAAACAAUUUCAUUUCAGUCCACCCAGAGGGUCUGCACUUCUCGGAGCCAGAAGGUGGAGAAGAGUAGGGAUGGAGGAAGUUCGAAGUUUUAGGAGUCUGCUCUUGGGUCCCUAGGCAUGAGGACAAGCUUUUCCUGUACUCAAUGCUCAUCUCUCAGUUGUGCCCACAUUGGUACACAUUACUUGCUUUCAACUGCUGCUGCUGCUGUUUCCUAAUUCAAUAAAGAUAUGGCUGGCUCAGCA
rnacentral:lncRNA from 1 species